UACGGAGGGUGCAAGCGUUACUUUGAAUCACUGGGCGUAAAGGACGCGUAGGCGGGUUGUCAAGUCAGGUGUGAAAUCCUACAGCUUAACUGUAGAACUGCACUUGAAACUGGCAACCUAGAGUAUGGGAGGGGGAGAUGGAAUUAGUGGUGUAGGGGUAAAAUCCGUAGAUAUCACUAGGAAUAUCAAAAGCGAAGGCGAUCUCCUGGAACAUUACUGACGCUAAGGCGUGAAAGCGUGGGGAGCAAACAGGAUUAGAUACCCUGGUAGUCCACGCCCUAAACGAUGAACACUAGUCGUCGGGAUGCUAGUCAUCUCGGUGAUGCACUUAACAGAUUAAGUGUUCCGCCUGGGGAGUACGGUCGCAAGAUUAAAACUCAAAGGAAUAGACGGGGACCCGCACAAGUGGUGGAGCAUGUGGUUUAAUUCGAAGAUACGCGAAAAACCUUACCUAGCCUUGACAUUGAUAGAAUUCUGUAGAGAUACGGAAGUGCCCUUCGGGGAACUUGAAAACAGGUGCUGCACGGCUGUCGUCAGCUCGUGUCGUGAGAUGUUGGGUUAAGUCCCGCAACGAGCGCAACCCUCGUCUUUAGUUGCCAGCAGGUUAAGCUGGGCACUCUAAAGAGACUGCCUUCGUAAGGAGGAGGAAGGUGAGGACGACGUCAAGUCAUCAUGGCCCUUAUGGCUAGGGCUACACACGUGCUACAAUGGGGCGUACAGAGAGUUGCGAUACCGCGAGGUGGAGCCAAUCUCACAAAGCGUCUCUCAAUUCGGAUU
rnacentral:rRNA from 1 species